rnacentral:snRNA from 1 species
UAUGCUUCUUAGCUUUCUGGCUAACAUCAAGUGUAGUAUCUGUUUUUAUCAGUUUAAUAUCUGAUAUGUCCUCUUGUUUGAGGACACUAUAUUAAAUAGAUCUUUGGAGCUGAUAGAUGGAAUAAGGGCUUGCUCCGUAAAAUACUUUUUAAUAAUUUGUUUAAAAAAUUAUGUAGAUGGUUAUAG